GGAGGAAUGGCCGAGUGGCCGAAGGCGGCGGUCUUGAAAACCGCAGCACUGCAAGGUGCCGGGGGUUCGAAUCCCUCUUCCUCCG
rnacentral:tRNA from 1 species